UGUGGCUUGCGAAUGCGGACUUAAAUAGGCAGCCAUACACCAAGGGCAAGCUGGCACCGAUUCUGGUUCUUCCACUUUCUGUUCCCCAAUUUCUGUGGCAGGAAGGCUUCCUUUAACACUGGUGAUGAAUCCUUCCUCUCUUCUGUUUGCUUCCCAUUCCCGCCCACUAUCCCAAAGCUCACAUGGCUUGAGGGUGAAGGGAGGAGUGAAACGAGCUGCCAGAGGAAAAAGGUUGAGCUGAACUCCCCAUACCCAGGGACAGAAGGGCCGGAAAUGCUCCAGACAGGAAGAUCUGUGACUGGCAGGAGGCCGUGAUAUCAGGGAGGCUUGCAAUGUACCCAACGAUCCUCACAGGAAUUCCCUAGUCACUGUUAAGAGAGCUGGAGGGAAAAGUGGCAGGGGUCCAGCUCCCAGCGCAUAUCUGGCUAUGAUGCUGAUUAGAAUCUACUUCAUCACUUGGAAAAUCACUCUGCAUGCAACACGGCCACCUCAACACCACAGCUCCACAGGCUUGGGGUAGAGCGAGCAAUGACUUUUUAAUGGCAUGUGAACUGCCUUCCUCACAUGGGGGAGUAAAAUCUGUAGAAGUAAUAUAGUGCUGGAAACGCAGGUUGGAAAAAUGAAAUGUAUUUGAGCAGGCAUAAAUUUAGUGAUUUAUUUAUAUAUGGCCAACUUCACUUUUCCUAUAGCAAUUAGGGGUCAGAGAGUAAGCUGGUCUGAAUCCCUAAUUAAAUAUAAUUCUAUACCCUUGGAAGAAUCUUCUAGAAAGUUUAUAUCUGAGGUGGAAAAACUUAUUCCUUCAUAGACUGUCAUCAUGUUUUUUCAUAACACCUCUCUGGUGACUCUUUUCAAAAUGUUUAUCUAUUAUGUGUCAAGUUCCAAAACUAUGUAAAGCUACUGCCUAGAAAAGAGCUUCAUUCUUAAAUAAUUUAUUGAUUUUUUUUCAGAUCAGUAGGAUAGUACUUUAAUAAAUUAUAGGAGAAUAAUAUGUAGUUCCAGGUCAGUGAGAUAUUUGCAGUUAAUUGUUUUUCCCCAACAUUUUAUCAUAAAAAAAUUUCAAACAUAAAACAAGGUUGAGAAAAUUUUAUAAUGAAUACUUGUAAACUCAUAAGUUUAUAAACUCUGUUCAUCCAUCUACCCAUCUUUCUUUGGUUCUUGUGCAUUUCAAAGCAAACUGCAAACAUUAGUAUAUUUUCCCUUAAAUACUUAGCGUGAGCAUAACUAAUGAUAAGCUUAAGAUUUUUUUCAAAGGCUUAAAAAUGUUGGAUUUUUUUUCAGUGAAUGUUGCAUGUGGUUUCAAAGAAUUAGUGAUUCUUCUUAAACUGUAUUAGAAUCAGACAGAAUUUAGUGAAUACACAUAUAUGGUAGUGUGCAAACUCAACAGUCAAAAAUAUGGGUUACUGAUUCUUUCAAUAUGAGUACCAGUUUUAAUGAGAUGUAAUUUAUAUGUAAUAAAAUUAUUUUUAACAUAGGCAUUAGAGCUAUAAAUUUCCCUUUAAAUGCCACUUUAUACUAUAUACAUUUUGGAAUGCUAUAUUUUAUUUAAUUUUCUCAAAGUAUUUUCUAAUUUCUUUUGUGGUUUAUUCUUAAGCCUAUUGCUUAUUGAGCAGUGUGCCUGUGUGUAUUUUAAAAGUUGUACACAUUAGAAUUCUCCAAAUGUUCAUCUCUUAUUAUUAAUUUUAUUCCAAUGUGAUUAGAGAAAUUUGUCUGAUUUCAAUUCUUUAAAAUAUACUGAGGCUCAUUUUAUAGUCCAAUCUAUAGUUUGUGCUAGAGGAUACUCUAUGUACAUUUGAUAAGAAUGUAUCUAUGCUGUUGUUGGGUGGGGUGCUCUGUAGAAGUCUAUUAGGUCAUAGUGUUGUUCAACUCUUCUAAUUCUUGUCAAAUUUCUAUCUAGUUGUUUUAUUCAUUAUUGAAAGUGUGGUGUUAAAAUUUCCAACCAAUACUGAUAAUAUCUAUUUCUCCAGUUUUGCUA